rnacentral:rRNA from 1 species
CCUACGGGAGGCAGCAGUAGGGAAUCUUCCACAAUGGGCGAAAGCCUGAUGGAGCAACGCCGCGUGGGUGAAGAAGGCCUUCGGAUCGUAAAACCCUGUUGUCAGAGAAGAUAGUGCGUGAGAGUAACUGUUCACGUUUCGACGGUUUCUAACCAGAAAGCCACGGCUAACUACGUGCCAGCAGACGCUGUAGAACGUAGGUGGCAAGAGUUAGCCGGGGUUAUUGGGCGGAAAGGGAAUGCAGGCGGUCUUUUAAGCCGAAUGUGAAAUCGCUAGGCUUAACCGGUAUAGAGCAUUGGAAACUGGGAGACUUGAGUGCAGGAGAGGAGAGUGGAACUCCAUGUGUAGCGGUGAAAUGCGUAGAUAUAAGGAGGAACACCAGUGGCGAAGGCGGCUCUCUGGUCUGUAACUGACGCUGAGGUUCGAAAGCGUGGGUAGCAAACAGGAUUAGAUACCCUUGUAGUC